GAUGAACGCUAGCGGCAGGCCUAACACAUGCAAGUCGAGGGAGAAGCCCUUCGGGGCAGAAACCGGCGCACGGGUGCGUAACGCGUAUGCAACCUACCUUUCACAGGGGGAUAGCCCGAAGAAAUUUGGAUUAAUACCCCAUAAUAUUAUUGGAUGGCAUCAUUUGAUAAUUAAAAUUACGAUGGUGAAAGAUGGGCAUGCGUCCUAUUAGCUAGUUGGAGUGGUAACGGCACCCCAAGGCUACGAUAGGUAGGGGUCCUGAGAGGGAGAUCCCCCACACUGGUACUGAGACAGGGACCAGACUCCUACGGGAGGCAGCAGUGAGGAAUAUUGGUCAAUGGUCGGAAGACUGAACCAGCCAUGCCGCGUGCAGGAAGAAUGCCUUAUGGGUUGUAAACUGCUUUUAUAUGGGAAGAAUAAGGAGUACGUGUACUUUGAUGACGGUACCAUAUGAAU
rnacentral:rRNA from 1 species